rnacentral:rRNA from 1 species
AGGGAUCAUUACCGAGUUUACAACUCCCAAACCCAAUGUGAACGUUACCAAACUGUUGCCUCGGCGGGAUCUCUGCCCCGGGUGCGUCGCAGCCCCGGACCAAGGCGCCCGCCGGAGGACCAACCAAAACUCUUAUUGUAUACCCCCUCGCGGGUUUUUUACUAUCUGAGCCAUCUCGGCGCCCCUCGUGGGCGUUUCGAAAAUGAAUCAAAACUUUCAACAACGGAUCUCUUGGUUCUGGCAUCGAUGAAGAACGCAGCGAAAUGCGAUAAGUAAUGUGAAUUGCAGAAUUCAGUGAAUCAUCGAAUCUUUGAACGCACAUUGCGCCCGCCAGUAUUCUGGCGGGCAUGCCUGUCCGAGCGUCAUUUCAACCCUCGAACCCCUCCGGGGGGUCGGCGUUGGGGAUCGGCCCUUUACGGGGCCGGCCCCGAAAUACAGUGGCGGUCUCGCCGCAGCCUCUCCUGCGCAGUAGUUUGCACACUCGCAUCGGGAGCGCGGCGCGUCCACAGCCGUUAAACACCCCAAACUUCUGAAAUGUUGACCUCGGAUCAGGUAGGAAUACCCGCUGAACUUAAG